rnacentral:lncRNA from 1 species
CGCCUACUCGCUCUGCCCAUCGCAGGGCUGGGCUCGCUGAGGUCACACAGCGGAGCGGGGGACACGGACUCACCCCACCCACGGGCAGGGGUCGCUCGGAGACUUCCGCACAGAAUCAGAAUGUUCAGGGCUUGUCAGUAAAAGUCAGAAACAGGUUCAUCAGGCAGAGUGUUAAAAGUAUACAAAGAAAGAGGGAGAGAGCUGCCUGGCCCCGAACUGGGUCUCUCCACGGGGACUUGGAGGUGUCCGUAAUAUCCAAGGGUGGGGUUGGCAGAGGGAGCACAAUUUACAGACAAGAACCUUUCUGGGGGUAGAAUUCAAUGUGUCACCGAGCCCAGUGGAUGUCCUCAAAAAGGCCAGGCAAGGAACAAACCAAGACAAGCCAUCCCAGGGAAAGCAAGGAGCCCCUGGGUGGAAAAGAAGAGCGGCCACGCAGGACAUGCAUGUGUUUCAGGUGCGGGG